UAAGGAAUAUUGGUCAAUGGAGGCAACUCUGAACCAGCCAUGCCGCGUGCAGGAAGAAGGCCCUACGGGUUGUAAACUGCUUUUGUACAAGAGAAAACCUCCCUACGUGUAGGGAGCUGAUAGUAUUGUAAGAAUAAGCAUCGGCUAACUUCGUGCCAGCAGCCGCGGUAAGACGAAGGAUGCAAGCGUUAUCCGGAUUCAUUGGGUUUAAAGGGUGCGUAGGCGGUCCUGUAAGUCAGUGGUGAAAUCUCUCAGCUUAACUGAGAAACUGCCAUUGAUACUGCAGGACUUGAGUACAGAUGAUGUUGGCGGAAUAUGACAUGUAGCGGUGAAAUGCUUAGAUAUGUCAUAGAACACCGAUUGCGAAGGCAGCUGACAAAACUGUAACUGACGCUGAGGCACGAAAGUGUGGGGAUCAAACA
rnacentral:rRNA from 1 species